UACGGGGGGGGUAAGCGUUGUUCGGAAUUACUGGGCGUAAAGGGCUCGUAGGCGGCCAACUAAGUCAUACGUGAAAUCCCUCAGCUUAACUGGGGAACUGCGUGUGAUACUGGAUGGCUUGGAUUUGGGAGAGGGAUGCGGAAUUCCUGGUGUAGCGGUGAAAUGCGCAGAUAUCAGGAGGAACACCAGUGGCGAAGGCGGUGCUCUGGGCCGGAACUGACGCUGAGGAGCGAAAGCGUGGGGAGCAAACAGG
rnacentral:rRNA from 1 species